rnacentral:rRNA from 1 species
GACGAACGCUGGCGGCGUGCCUAAUACAUGCAAGUCGAGCGAGCGGAACUAACAGAUUUACUUCGGUAAUGACGUUAGGAAAGCGAGCGGCGGAUGGGUGAGUAACACGUGGGGAACCUGCCCCAUAGUCUGGGAUACCACUUGGAAACAGGUGCUAAUACCGGAUAAGAAAGCAGAUCGCAUGAUCAGCUUUUAAAAGGCGGCGUAAGCUGUCGCUAUGGGAUGGCCCCGCGGUGCAUUAGCUAGUUGGUAAGGUAAAGGCUUACCAAGGCGAUGAUGCAUAGCCGAGUUGAGAGACUGAUCGGCCACAUUGGGACUGAGACACGGCCCAAACUCCUACGGGAGGCAGCAGUAGGGAAUCUUCCACAAUGGACGCAAGUCUGAUGGAGCAACGCCGCGUGAGUGAAGAAGGUUUUCGGAUCGUAAAGCUCUGUUGUUGGUGAAGAAGGAUAGAGGUAGCAACUGGCCUUUAUUUGACGGUAAUCAACCAGAAAGUCACGGCUAACUACGUGCCAGCAGCCGCGGUAAUACGUAGGUGGCAAGCGUUGUCCGGAUUUAUUGGGCGUAAAGCGAGCGCAGGCGGAAGAAUAAGUCUGAUGUGAAAGCCCUCGGCUUAACCGAGGAACUGCAUCGGAAACUGUUUUUCUUGAGUGCAGAAGAGGAGAGUGGAACUCCAUGUGUAGCGGUGGAAUGCGUAGAUAUAUGGAAGAACACCAGUGGCGAAGGCGGCUCUCUGGUCUGCAACUGACGCUGAGGCUCGAAAGCAUGGGUAGCGAACAGGAUUAGAUACCCUGGUAGUCCAUGCCGUAAACGAUGAGUGCUAAGUGUUGGGAGGUUUCCGCCUCUCAGUGCUGCAGCUAACGCAUUAAGCACUCCGCCUGGGGAGUACGACCGCAAGGUUGAAACUCAAAGGAAUUGACGGGGGCCCGCACAAGCGGUGGAGCAUGUGGUUUAAUUCGAAGCAACGCGAAGAACCUUACCAGGUCUUGACAUCUAGUGCCAUUUGUAGAGAUACAAAGUUCCCUUCGGGGACGCUAAGACAGGUGGUGCAUGGCUGUCGUCAGCUCGUGUCGUGAGAUGUUGGGUUAAGUCCCGCAACGAGCGCAACCCUUGUUAUUAGUUGCCAGCAUUAAGUUGGGCACUCUAAUGAGACUGCCGGUGACAAACCGGAGGAAGGUGGGGAUGACGUCAAGUCAUCAUGCCCCUUAUGACCUGGGCUACACACGUGCUACAAUGGGCAGUACAACGAGAAGCGAGCCUGCGAAGGCAAGCGAAUCUCUGAAAGCUGUUUUCAGUUCGGACUGCAGUCUGCAACUCGACUGCACGAAGCUGGAAUCGCUAGUAAUCGCGGAUCAGCACGCCGCGGUGAAUACGUUCCCGGGCCU